AAAAUCAAUCAAUAAAUAUGUUAAUGUGGUUAACAAUUCAUUAAAAACAUCUGUAAUAUUUUAUUUUAUUCAGUAUGUUAUUUCAUGAGUUAUUUUGUGUUUAAAAUGCAUUUGGAUCUUUAUUUUGAAGGGCACGUUGCUGCGUGACCCAGGUGACCAACAACCACCAAUCGGAUUGUUCAAAGGUUUUUUUCUUGUCUGGAAGCUUGUGGUUUUUGCGGAGCGGGCUAAAAGAAAAUCUUUGAGAGAGGAAGGUAAAGAAAAAAACGUUGAGAGAGGAAGGUGAAGAACCUUAAGUGGUUAGAAGCCAAUUUUGGUGGAUUUUGUGGAGAAGAUAUUUUCCGUACUCGAUCUGUACCUGUGUGGAGACGAUUAGUACGUUGGAAAACGGGACUUGGCCAUUUAGAGUGGGUUGGAGAAUUAUUCAACUGACACGACUUGGAAACCACGAGGUUAAAGCAAGAUGGCGAGCCACCCUGUGAUCUUCUGAACUGUGCUGUGCAACUACCAGAGUAAUAGCGUCUCUAUUGGACGGUGCGGAUUGCUUCCGAACUGGUAGGAUUCAUCCACUUUCUGCAAAGCUGCAGCGGACUCUUGGUGAACCCUGAGUUGCUUAUUGAAAAAAAGAAAAGCAGAUAGAGAAGAGGACCCUCUUUUCUUUUGGUUUUGUACCAAUUCAUUCAGUCUUUUGCUGAAUCAAUUUAGUUUGAUAACCUUUGUAUUUUUUUUUUGUGAAACAAAUUGUAAAUGGUAAUUGUUGUUAUGCUAUUUACUUUUUGCAUAAAUGUAAAUGGGUACAUUUACUACAUGAAUCCUCAAACUCGAAAGGCAAACUUCACUGAUGUGAAUUAGAUCAGCCUGAGUUAAUUAACAGAUCAAAAUCUUAACUGAACAGAAUUAAGAACUAAUUUGAACUAAACCAGACUAAAAAGGUUGCAACCUGAUACUAGAGCCUGAUAACAAAAUCUGAUAUGAAGUCAAAAGUCAGAGGUUAAUUCGAAAGGUUAAAACCUAAUUACUUAACAAAAGGGGUUAAGGUAAUUUGAAAUUGUGUUAAGUGUUGUCCAGUGUCUUGUUUGUAAGUUGUUUCAAUAAUAAGCCGGCAGUUUAAACUUA